rnacentral:rRNA from 1 species
UACGGAGGGUGCAAGCGUUAAUCGGAAUUACUGGGCGUAAAGCGCACGUAGGCGGAUUGUUAAGUCGGGGGGGAAAUCCUGGAGCUCAACUCCAGAACUGCCUUCGAUACUGGCGAUCUCGAGUUCGGGAGAGGUGAGUGGAACUGCGAGUGUAGAGGUGAAAUUCGUAGAUAUUCGCAAGAACACCAGUGGCGAAGGCGGCUCACUGGCCCGAUACUGACGCUGAGGUGCGAAAGCGUGGGGAGCGAACAGG